rnacentral:piRNA from 1 species
UGCACAGGUCAGUCUCGGGUUGAGGCUCUGUA